rnacentral:rRNA from 1 species
CCUACGGGGAGCUGCAGUGGGGAAUAUUGCACAAUGGGGGAAACCCUGAUGCAGCGACGCCGCGUGAGUGAAGAAGUAUUUCGGUACGUAAAGCUCUAUCAGCAGGGAAGAAAAUGACGGUACCUGACUAAGUAGCCCCGGCUAACUACGUGCCAGCAGCCGCGGUAAUACGUAGGGGGCAAGCGUUAUCCGGAUUUACUGGGUGUAAAGGGAGCGUAGACGGCAGCGCAAGUCUGGAGUGAAAUCCCAUGGCUUAACCAUGGAACUGCUUUGGAAACUGUGCAGCUAGAGUGCAGGAGAGGUAAGCGGAAUUCCUAGUGUAGCGGUGAAAUGCGUAGAUAUUAGGAGGAACACCAGUGGCGAAGGCGGCUUACUGGACUGUAACUGACGUUGAGGCUCGAAAGCGUGGGGAGCAAACAGGAUUAGAUACCCUUGUAGUC